GUGUAAAGACUAGUCAAACUGAUGGUAGGUAGGGGUUUAGAGCUGUGGGCUGGGAGUGUAAAGACUAGUCAAACUGAUGGUAGGUAGGGGUGUGGAGCUGUGGGCUGGGAGUGUAAAGACUAGUCAAACUGAUGGUAGGUAGGGGUUUAGAGCUGUGGGCUGGGAGUGUAAAGACUAGUCAAACUGAUGGUAGGUAGGGGUGUGGAGCUGUGGGCUGGGAGUGUAAAGACUAGUCAAACUGAUGGUAGGUAGGGGUGUGGAGCUGUGGGCUGGGAGUGUAAAGACUAGUCAAACUGAUGGUAGGUAGGGGUGUGGAGCUGUGGGCUGGGAGUGUAAAGACUAGUCAAACUGAUGGUAGGUAGGGGUUUAGAGCUGUGGGCUGGGAGUGUAAAGACUAGUCAAACUGAUGGUAGGUAGGGGUUUAGAGCUGUGGGCUGGGAGUGUAAAGACUAGUCAAACUGAUGGUAGGUAGGGGUGUGGAGCUGUGGGCUGGGAGUGUAAAGACUAGUCAAACUGAUGGUAGGUAGGGGUUUAGAGCUGUGGGCUGGGAGUGUAAAGACUAGUCAAACUGAUGGUAGGUAGGGGUGUGGAGCUGUGGGCUGGGAGUGGAAAGACUAGUCAAACUGAUGGUAGGUAGGGGUUUAGAGCUGUGGGCUGGGAGUGUAAAGACUAGUCAAACUGAUGGUAGGUAGGGGUUUAGAGCUGUGGGCUGGGAGUGUAAAGACUAGUCAAACUGAUGGUAGGUAGGGGUUUAGAGCUGUGGGCUGGGAGUGUAAAGACUAGUGAAACUGAUGGUAGGUAGGAGUGUGGAGCUGUGGGCUGGGAGUGUAAAGACUAGUCAAACUGAUGGUAGGUAGGGGUUUAGAGCUGUGGGCUGGGAGUGUAAAGACUAGUCAAACUGAUGGUAGGUAGGGGUUUAGAGCUGUGGGCUGGGAGUGUAAAGACUAGUCAAACUGAUGGUAGGUAGGGGUUUAGAGCUGUGGGCUGGGAGUGUAAAGACUAGUCAAACUGAUGGUAGGUAGGGGUUUAGAGCUGUGGGCUGGGAGUGUAAAGACUAGUCAAACUGAUGGUAGGUAGGGGUGUGGAGCUGUGGGCUGGGAGUGUAAAGACUAGUCAAACUG